UACGAAGGGGGGCUAGCGUUGUUCGGAUUUACUGGGCGUAAGGCGCACGUAGGCGGAUUGUUAAGUGAGGGGUGAAAUCCUGGAGCUCAACUCCAGAACUGCCUUUCAUACUGGCAAUCUAGAGUCCGGAAGAGGUAAGUGGAACUCCUAGUGUAGAGGUGGAAUUCGUAGAUAUUAGGAAGAACACCAGUGGCGAAGGCGGCUCACUGGUCCGAUACUGACGCUGAGGUGCGAAAGCGUGGGGAGCAAACAGG
rnacentral:rRNA from 1 species